rnacentral:rRNA from 1 species
UACGGAGGGAGCAAGCGUUACUCGGAAUUACUGGGCGUAAAGGGCGCGUAGGCGAUUUUGUAAGUCUUGUGUGAAAGCCCAAAGCCUAACUUUGGAAGUGCACAAGAUACUGCGAGAAUUGAGUUCCGGAGAGGAAGAUGGAAUUCCCGGUGUAGAGGUGAAAUUCGUAGAUAUCGGGAGGAACACCGGUGGCGAAGGCGGCGACCUGGGUCGAUACUGACGCUGAGGCGCGAAAGCGUGGGGAGCAAACAGG